rnacentral:rRNA from 1 species
UGGGGAAUAUUGUACAAUGGGCGCAAGCCUGAUGCAGCCAUGCCGCGUGUAUGAAGAAGGCCUUCGGGUUGUAAAGUACUUUCAGCGGGGAGGAAGGGAGUAAAGUUAAUACCUUUGCUCAUUGACGUUACCCGCAGAAGAAGCACCGGCUAACUCCGUGCCAGCAGCCGCGGUAAUACGGAGGGUGCAAGCGUUAAUCGGAAUUACUGGGCGUAAAGCGCACGCAGGCGGUUGAUUGAGUCAGAUGUGAAAUCCCCGGGCUUAACCCGGGAAUUGCAUCUGAUACUGGUCAGCUAGAGUCUUGUAGAGGGGGGUAGAAUUCCAUGUGUAGCGGUGAAAUGCGUAGAGAUGUGGAGGAAUACCGGUGGCGAAGGCGGCCCCCUGGACAAAGACUGACGCUCAGGUGCGAAAGCGUGGGGAGCAAACAGG